UACGAAGGGGGCUAGCGUUGCUCGGAAUCACUGGGCGUAAAGGGUGCGUAGGCGGGUCUUUAAGUCAGGGGUGAAAUCCUGGAGCUCAACUCCAGAACUGCCUUUGAUACUGAAGAUCUUGAGUUCGGGAGAGGUGAGUGGAACUGCGAGUGUAGAGGUGAAAUUCGUAGAUAUUCGCAAGAACACCAGUGGCGAAGGCGGCUCACUGGCCC
rnacentral:rRNA from 1 species